GGGUAGUUUGACUGGGGCGGUCUCCUCCUAAAGAGUAACGGAGGAGCACGAAGGUUGGCUAAUCCUGGUCGGACAUCAGGAGGUUAGUGCAAUGGCAUAAGCCAGCUUGACUGCGAGCGUGACGGCGCGAGCAGGUGCGAAAGCAGGUCAUAGUGAUCCGGUGGUUCUGAAUGGAAGGGCCAUCGCUCAACGGAUAAAAGGUACUCCGGGGAUAACAGGCUGAUACCGCCCAAGAGUUCAUAUCGACGGCGGUGUUUGGCACCUCGAUGUCGGCUCAUCACAUCCUGGGGCUGAAGUAGGUCCCAAGGGUAUGGCUGUUCGCCAUUUAAAGUGGUACGCGAGCUGGGUUUAGAACGUCGUGAGACAGUUCGGUCCCUAUCUGCCGUGGGCGCUGGAAGAUUGAGGGGGGCUGCUCCUAGUACGAGAGGACCGGAGUGGACGCAUCACUGGUGUUCGGGUUGUCAUGCCAAUGGCACUGCCCGGUAGCUACAUGCGGAAGAGAUAAGUGCUGAAAGCAUCUAAGCACGAAACUUGCCCCGAGAUGAAUCUUCCCUGAGCCUUUAAGGCUCCUGAAGGAACGUUGAAGACGACGACGUUGAUAGGCCGGGUGUGUAAGCGCAGCGAUGCGUUGAGCUAACCGGUACUAAUGAACCGUGAGGCUUAACCUUACAAC
rnacentral:rRNA from 7 species